UACGUAGGGGGCUAGCGUUGUCCGGAUUUAUUGGGCGUAAAGAGCGUGUAGGCGGCCAGGUAGGUCUGCUGUGAAAACUCGAGGCUUAACCUCGAGAUGUCGGUGGAAACCAUCUGGCUAGAGUCCGGAAGAGGAGAGUGGAAUUCCUGGUGUAGCGGUGAGAUGCGCAGAUAUCGGGAAGAACACCUAUGGCGAAGGCAGCUCUCUGGGACGGUACUGACGCUGAGACGCGAAAGCGUGGGGAGCGAACAGG
rnacentral:rRNA from 1 species